GCAAAACGCUGCGCAGAUACCCGGGUGUGUCGAAGGACGGCAGUCAGAGCGUGCUUGGUGUUCGUCAGCGAGUGUCAGUGGCAGGACCUACCAGCGGUGACAUCAAGCUCGGAUGCAGUGGACCACGAAGCAGCAGGGAAUUACCAGCCUCCUCCAGCUGAGCGCGGACGGCACUACCCCGCCACCGAGAGACACUCGGAAGAACAGGCGCUGGAAGAGGCGCUAGCGCCGCGACGGAGGGAGGCUGAACUAACGACGGGGUGGUUUGCGUGUGCGCGUGCGGGCCAUUGACGUUUUUCGUCUUUUCAACCCCUUCGCCGUCGUCUUUGGGUCAGCUGUUGCAAACUGUAACAGUUGCUCUGAGUUGGAGACUCACACCCAGACCUGGGCUUCUCGGGGGAAGUUAAGGCAUGGCGAAUUCCUUCAGAUCUCUCGAUUAAGUGUCCCCUCUCCAGCGUCUUGAAGCGGAGUUAAAAGUUGUACUGCUGUAUAGGGGUUGCAACAGCCCCUCCGACUCGUACUUGUAAGAUUGAACGUUUAAACGAGUGCCAGCAUGACGACCAAGUACCAGUCAAAUGUGGACAUGACGAGUAAGGAGGAUCUGCUUUCGGAGAGAGGACUGAAGCGCCGGUCCAAGUUUUAUGUGUUCACCCUUACCACUCUGAGCACCCUUGGGGGAUUUCUAUUUGGAUAUGAUACUGGUGUGGUUUCUGGAGCUAUGCUCCUCAUCAACAAAGACUUUGAAAUGUCUCCUGUUUGGCAUGAAUUAAUAGUGUCCUCGACAAUUGCCGCAGCACUUGUGUUCUCCUUGAUUGGAGGAUGGUUCUCCGAUCGAUUUGGAAGGAAGAAGGCAAUUCUUAUAUCUGGGGUGAUAUUUACUGGUGGAUCAAUAAUUAUGGGAGUUGCUCAAAACAAAGAAAUUCUUCUUGUUGGUCGUAUUAUUAUUGGCGUUGCUGUGGGUUUCGAGAGCAUGAGCGUGCCCGUGUACAUAGCUGAGUGUGCAGAUUCAGCUAGCCGUGGCAUGCUUGUUACUGCAUAUCAGUUGUUUAUUACGCUUGGCUUGCUUGCUGCAAGUAUAAUUGCUGGUCUGUAUUCAACGUCUUAUGAAGGCUGGAGGUACAUGCUUGGAUUAGCUGCUGUCCCAGCAGCAAUUCAGUUUCUUGGCUUUUGCCUCAUGCCAGAAAGUCCUCGUUGGCUUGCAGCUCAAAAAAGGUAUAAUGAGGCAAAUAAAGUUCUCAAAGCCAUUAGAGGAUCGGCAGCAGUGGCAGAUCAAGAGCUUGCUUCAAUUAAAGCAACAAUUGAAGAUAAAGAGCGAGAGAUGGAGGAGCAGAUUGCCCUCAAUGGUGGAAGUCCUUUGUAUGUCCAAGUCUUCAGGUCACCUGGCGUGCGCAGAGCUCUAUGCAUUGGUUUUUGUAUGCAGAUUUUCCAGCAACUGUCUGGAAUCAAUACUGUGAUGUAUUACAGUGCGUCAAUUAUUAGGAUGUCAGGUAUUAGGGAAGAAUCAAUGGCAAUUUGGAUAUCUGCUGGAGUUUCUGCUGUGAAUUUCAUCUGUACCUUCAUUGGGUUGUUCUUUGUUGACCGUGCUGGACGUCGUAAGCUGGUUCUCAUCUCUUAUGCUGGUGUAAUUUGCUCAUUGGUUUUACUCGGAGUUGGAUUCUCUCUCAUGAAUUCCGAUUCUCCUUUAGUGACACAAGUUAACACAAAUGAUAGAUGUGGCAAAUCUUAUUCAUGUCAAGAAUGCAUCAGUGUUCCAGACGGUUGUGGAUUCUGCUUUGUGAAAGCUGGAAAUGGAUCUAUUCUAGAUGGUUCAUGCUGGAAAUUAGAUGCGGACUCUGGAAAACCUACGGACGGGCAGUGCUCAGAAAAAAGUGAUUUAUUGACCAAAUAUCCUGCUAAUAUUGACUUUGCUAAUGGCUGGUGCCCAACGAAAUACUUCUGGCUGCCAAUUUUGGCAAUGACUUUGUAUCUUGUUUCUUUUGCUCCGGGUAUGGGUCCUAUGCCGUGGACCAUCAAUUCUGAAAUAUAUCCUCUAUGGGCCCGUGGUUUCUGCACUAGUAUAACAACAAGUGCAAGUUGGCUAGGGAAUUUGAUUAUAUCUGCUUCUUUUCUCUCUCUCAUUGAAGCACUUGGAAAUGCAGGAGCAUUCUUUUUAUAUGUGGGCAUUGCUCUCAUAGGAUUUUCCAUCAUCUUUGCAUUCCUUCCCGAAACCAGGGGUCGAACCCUUGAGGAAAUGGAGAGCCUGUUCUUGGGACCGUUGUUCGUUUGCUGCCGUGGACGUAAAAGUGGCAGUACUCUAGGCUCCAACAACGUGCAGUAUGUACACAUUCGAGGGCUAAAUCGAGCUUCUCCAAGGUCAUCAACUCGUCCUGGGGAACUGGGCACUGUCGCAGAUGCUUACAACAGUGACGAUAGCGACAAUUAAUUAACAGGGGGUCUGGGGAAAUGUAUAGAAUUCUCAUUGAUGUAUGUUGGGUGGCUUUCUGCUUACAAAAGGUGACGGAGCAACUUCUGAAUAGCUCUUUUUUUUAUUGCCAUGCCAUGACAUAUUUCUUGUGUUUACCAACAGAUCUCAUAAUUUCUUUGUUAGAAUCAAGUGCUUUUUAAAUCUGUCGCAGAUGCUCACAGCAAUGACGAUAGCAACAAUUAAUUUACAUGGAGGUCCUGGGAUACGUGUAGAAUUCCCCCUGGUGUAUGUUGGGUGGCUUUCUGCUUACAAAAGAUGAAGGGGUAAAUUUUGAAUUGCCCUCUUUUUUGCUGCCAUGACAUAACUCUUGUGUUUACCGACAGAUCUCAUUCUUUUUAUGUCAUAAUCAAAUGCUGCUCAUAUAUACAAAACUUAAAAUUUUCAAUCAUGAACAAGUGAUUGGUAAUAAUUUUGAAAAUUUAUCAGAUUUGGAUUUAAAAAAAAAGAAAACACUUUAGAUUAAUGCACUUUUGUGAAUUGAAUUGAAUUUUUAUAAAGAAGUUCAAAAUCUCAAAGUAGGAGUACAUCAUGUUUUGCUUUGACUGACAUUGGAAACAUUAUUAUUUCCCUUUUCUAUUAUUUUCAACUCUUUUUUUUUAACACUUAUCUUUUAUCUUAGCUGGUGCUAAAAUGUAUGAAACUUAAUCUAUGCUUUUAAUAUGUCUCAGUAAGAGCAGAUAAUUAUAAUACUAUGUUAACAUGUUCAGGAGCAAAGUUUGAGUGACCCUGUGCUUUGAAUAGAAAUGUAUAACAUGCAUUGUUCUACUGAACAUAGUAUUGUAGCUUUGUAGUCAAAGUUACCAAAACGUUAUCUAGAUCCUGCCAAGAGCACCUCUUUUUUCUGUUCUUGCAUCCUACUUUUACAAAUCGUUGCAUUUAUCAUGUGCCAGAGUGCUACAUUACAUUUCAAAAUAUUUAACACGAACGAACCAAGUUUUUUCUUGUGACUGACUGACUGUGUGUCCCUCCAUUUCCUUGCUGUGUCGUGUGCAAGUUAUUAUUUUCAUUAAGUGUUUUGCCAAUGAAAUAUCCAGUGUUUAAAAACUAUAUUUUGUUAUCUGGAAGUCUUUGUAAAUACUUUUAAUUGUUUAUGGUAUUCCCACAGGUAUGGACCAAUGUUAGAUUUUAACUUGAUUCACUUCUAUCAAAUGUUAGUGUUCUGAAAGUAUUAGUAUUUAACCCUUUGUUAUCUGUUGCUUAUUUAGUUACAUCGUGCUGUGUUCUAGUCUUUUGACUACCUUGCAAUUGUUUUAGUCUCUAUAUUCUAUAUGCAACGGUUUAGUCAAAACAAAUAGGAAGAAAGCACUAAUUGUUUAGUAAUUAACUGUGCUUCACAUUUUUCAUAUGCAAGAUACCAGAGAAAUUGUUUCAGAAAACAUCUUAGGAAUGGUUCUUGCAGUGCUAAUUUCUGUGUGCUUUGUGCCUGUGUUAAUUCCUCACUUUUUAGAUGCUUUCAGUGUUAAUGUCAUCAAUACAUUUCCUGCAUUUAUGUCUUCUGCCUUUCUUUGUGUUCAUUUUGACCUUAACCAAACCUGGAACUGUAUUUUGCCUGGAAAGAAAAAGAAGCCACAAAUGUCGAAGCAUAUGUCCUUUCAGCAUCUACGCAUAUGUAAUUGUAGAAGACUUUUGCAAAAUACUCUGUUGCGCUGGAUUGAACAACAUGCUGUAAAGUAUACAUAACUUGUACAUAAAACCUUAUCUGUGAUUAUAUUUGUUACUUAGAAAUAGAACUUUCUCUCACCAUAUAGUAAACUCAAUAUAAUUCAUGUUUAUAAAUAUGUUUAGAUUCACAUCACUGCAUGCAAUCUCUACACUAGAAUUGAUCAUUAUUGUUGUAUUCCCAUUAUGAAAAUAAACAUAGAAUGUUUAAUA